UAUUUAUCAUUUUCUUUAUACUAUUCAUAAGACAAAUAACAAUAUGUAUAUUCAUAUUAUUUUGUAACUUUUUCACUCUUAUUAUAUACUGAAUGAUAUCCAAGACAAGGUACAGAGGAUAUGCCUUGUUAUUUUCCUUUACUACAUGGAAUUCGAUAGACUAAAAUUUCAUCAUUUAAAUAUUCAAUCAUUGCCUUGUUGACAGGUCUUGGGAUUUUUUUCUAGCUUUUGUAAAUAAGAAAAUUGCCACAAUAAAUGCUCUUUAAUGUAUACAUUUAUAUUCAAUUUUUUUCUACUUUAUAUAUUGUCAGAAGCAUACACAGCUAUGUUAAAGAUAUAUGCAUUUUCAACUUUAAUAAAAAUGCCAGAUAACUUUUGUACAAAUUAUGGCAAUUUACAGUCAUACCAACAAUGUAUCUGAGUUCCUCAUACCCUAGCUAACAUUUGAUAUUAUCAUUUUUAAUUUUGGAAUCUAAUGGUUAAGCACGAUAGCUUGCUUUUGUUUCAGUUUGUAUUUCCCAGAUGACAAAAGUCCACAUAUUCAUUGGACAAUUUCCCUUUCUUUUCUGUGGACUAUCCUUAGGCAUUUUUCUAUUGGAUUGUUUAUAAGCUGCUUGCACAUUUGCUAGAAGCUCUUUGAAAUACAAUCCUUUGCUAUGUUUAUUGCAAGCAUCUUUCCCACACUGUUGACUUUUGACUUCUUUGGUGUUUUCUUUUGCCAUACUGAAUCUUUUAAUUUCUAUGUAGAAAAACUCUGUCAAAUUUUAUUAUUCUCUUUUCUAAGAAGUUUACCCCCCAAACAAUCUCCACCCCAAUAGUACCCAGACCUCUGCAUUAUGUGGCCUUUACAACUGCAGGUUCCUAUGACAUCUUUUGGAACCAGCCUCCGGUUUCGGGUUUCUUCCCUCAACCUUUUCCGCGUGGUCUCUUGCUCCACUCUGUUCUCUAAAUCACUCUGGGAUUUAUGUGGAGGAGGGGUUGUUUCUUUUCCCUGUGUUUUGUUUUGCCUUUUGUUUACAGAAAACGUGUUCUAUGCAAUUGUGCUGGCUUUCCAAGGUUGAGUCAUAAAAGGUGUCAUAGAAUCUGCCUUCUUGGCUGAAACACUCACUCUUGAAGGUGGGAUACACAUCCUUGAGGUCUUCAGUCAUUCAGUUGCCCUGAGGCCACCGUGCAGUGAGGAAG
ensembl:lncRNA